AUUGAACGCUGGCGGCAGGCCUAACACAUGCAAGUCGAACGGUAACAGGAAGCAGCUUGCUGCUUCGCUGACGAGUGGCGGACGGGUGAGUAAUGUCUGGGAAACUGCCUGAUGGAGGGGGAUAACUACUGGAAACGGUAGCUAAUACCGCAUAACGUCGCAAGACCAAAGAGGGGGACCUUAGGGCCUCUUGCCAUCGGAUGUGCCCAGAUGGGAUUAGCUAGUAGGUGGGGUAACAGCUCACCUAGGCGACGAUCCCUAGCUGGUCUGAGAGGAUGACCAGCCACACUGGAACUGAGACACGGUCCAGACUCCUACGGGAGGCAGCAGUGGGGAAUAUUGCACAAUGGGCGCAAGCCUGAUGCAGCCAUGCCGCGUGUAUGAAGAAGGCCUUCGGGUUGUAAAGUACUUUCAGCGGGGAGGAAGGGAGUAAAGUUAAUACCUUUGCUCAUUGACGUUACCCGCAGAAGAAGCACCGGCUAACUCCGUG
rnacentral:rRNA from 1 species